GACGAACGCUGGCGGCGUGCUUAACACAUGCAAGUCGAACGGAAAGGCCCUGCUUUUGUGGGGUGCUCGAGUGGCGAACGGGUGAGUAACACGUGAGUAACCUGCCCUUGACUUUGGGAUAACUUCAGGAAACUGGGGCUAAUACCGGAUAGGAGCUCCUGCUGCAUGGUGGGGGUUGGAAAGUUUCGGCGGUUGGGGAUGGACUCGCGGCUUAUCAGCUUGUUGGUGGGGUAGUGGCUUACCAAGGCUUUGACGGGUAGCCGGCCUGAGAGGGUGACCGGCCACAUUGGGACUGAGAUACGGCCCAGACUCCUACGGGAGGCAGCAGUGGGGAAUAUUGCACAAUGGGCGGAAGCCUGAUGCAGCAACGCCGCGUGCGGGAUGACGACCUUCGGGCUGUAAACCGCUUUCGCCUGUGACGAAGCGUGAGUGACGGUAAUGGGUAAAGAAGCACCGGCUAGCUACGUG
rnacentral:rRNA from 1 species